ACUCCAUGAUCCCCUUCACGUGGAGAUUUCGAAAGUGGGUGGCCUCAGCGGUGGCUUCAGAGUGACCUUCUCUCAAUUUGCGGAGCUCGCCUUCUGUCUUCUUCAACUUCUUUGUCAGGUGAAGGACUUCCUUCUUCAGCCGCUGGAUCGUCGAUUUCAGCGGGACCCCCAGGGGCAGGGGGAGCGCUUCUGCAGGGCACUGCCAUCGGAAGGCAAAAGCAUCGAAGCACGACUCAUUGCAGGAAGAAGAGCAGAGAGAAGGAGGGGGGAAGGAGAAGCCGUUCGCAACAAGAAAUUCAACUUUUUUGAUUGAAUGAUUUUUGAAGACAAACAGAAAAGAAAAAUUGCGAUGAAAUAAAGGUACAAGAUUGAGGUCUCAGACCUCAGGGGCGGG
rnacentral:lncRNA from 1 species